AACGAACGCUGGCGGCGUGCCUAACACAUGCAAGUCGAGCGAGAAAGUCUUCGGAUGAGUACAGCGGCGGACGGGUGAGUAAUACGUAGGUAAUCUACCUUUUUGUGGGGAAUAACUAAGGGAAACUUUAGCUAAUACCGCAUACGGUUACAGAUCUUAUGGUCUGUAAAGAAAGGGGGGUCGUAAGAUCUCUCGCAAAGAGAUGAGCCUGCGUCCGAUUAGCUAGUUGGUGAGGUAAUGGCUCACCAAGGCGACGAUCGGUAGCUGAUUUGAGAGAAUGAUCAGCCACACUGGAACUGACACACGGUCCAGACUCCUACGGGAGGCAGCAGUGGGGAAUAUUGCACAAUGGGGGAAACCCUGAUGCAGCGACGCCGCGUGGGUGAUGAAGGCCUUCGGGUUGUAAAGCCCUGUCGGCUGGGAACAAGUUAGACGUGCUCAUACCACGUUUGAUUGAGUGUACCAGCAAAGGAAGCACCGGCUAACCCUGUG
rnacentral:rRNA from 1 species